rnacentral:rRNA from 1 species
AGAGUUUGAUCAUGGCUCAGGAUGAACGCUGGCGGCGUGCUUAACACAUGCAAGUCGAACGGAGUUAUGUUGAAAGCUUGCUGGAUAUAUAGCUUAGUGGCGGACGGGUGAGUAACACGUGAGCAACCUGCCUUUCAGAGUGGAAUAACGUUUGGAAACGAACGCUAAUACCGCAUAAUGUCAGAGGAUGGCAUCAUUCUUUGACCAAAGAUUUAUCGCUGAAAGAUGGGCUCGCGGCCGAUUAGGUAGUUGGUGAGAUAAUAGCCCACCAAGCCGACGAUCGGUAGCCGGACUGAGAGGUUGAACGGCCACAUUGGGACUGAGACACGGCCCAGACUCCUACGGGAGGCAGCA